rnacentral:rRNA from 1 species
UACGUAGGGACCAAGCGUUGUUCGGAUUUACUGGGCGUAAAGGGCGCGUAGGCGGCGUGUUAAGUCACUUGUGAAAUCUCUAAGCUUAACUUAGAACGGUCAAGUGAUACUGAUGUGCUAGAGUGCAGAAGGGGCAACCGGAAUUCUUGGUGUAGCGGUGAAAUGCGUAGAUAUCGAGAGGAACACCUGCGGCGAAGGCGGGUUGCUGGGCUGACACUGACGCUGAGGCGCGAAAGCUAGGGGAGCGAACGGG